CGAAAGCCUGACGGAGCAAAACCGCGUGAGGGAGGAAGGCUCUUGGGUUGUAAACCUCUUUUCUCAGGGAAGAAGCUCUGACGGUACCUGAGGAAUCAGCAUCGGCUAACUCCGUGCCAGCAGCCGCGGUAAGACGGAGGAUGCAAGCGUUAUCCGGAAUUAUUGGGCGUAAAGCGUCCGCAGGUGGUGAGUCAAGUCUGCUGUCAAAGCCAGGAGCUCAACUCCUGUCCGGCAGUGGAAACUGACCCACUCGAGGGUGGUAGGGGUAGAGGGAAUUCCCAGUGUAGCGGUGAAAUGCGUAGAGAUUGGGAAGAACACCGGUGGCGAAAGCGCUCUACUGGACCACACCUGACACUCAGAGGACGAAAGCUAGGGGAGCG
rnacentral:rRNA from 1 species